rnacentral:rRNA from 1 species
AUGGAGGCGGCCACAGUGGGCGCCAUACUGAAGGCCUCCCUACCAAGCCUGUUCAAGUUGGUAGGUGACAGAUGCAAGCGUCUGGAGCCUGUUGUUCGAUCCAUUCAAGAAAAGCUUGAGAUUAUGCAAUCAAUUUUCCAAGAUCCUAGCUGGGGAGGCAAUAAAACCAGCGAUUUCAAGAUCACGCAACUCAAAAGGUUGGCGGAAGAGAUCAACGACUGCAUGGCCAGCUUCGAUGCCAAAAUGAUAUCUGUUACACAGUUUGCCAGAAAGAUUUCUGAGCUCAAGGCGAGAAUAGAAUCUUUAUUCGUGGGGCUACAAUCUUUUAGCGCCCUGGCGCCGAUCAAUCCAUGUUCUCCUCCUCCAGUGACGGCUGAUGCAGAAGAGGAUCUUCUUACCUUGGUACAGAACCAAUCGGAGAUGAAGGCCAAGGUUAUCUGCGCCAUUGGCUUCGGUGGCCGAAAUACUCUGCUUGCAAGGCAAGUCUACAACAAUGCUGAAGUCCGCUGGCAGUUCGGUCAGUGGGCGUGGGUUACUGCGGCAGACAAAACCAUGGAUGAUGUUCUGAUGGAGAUACUCGGGCAAUUUGGGAAUGAGCCGCACCGUAGGCCGGGCAUUGGCAUGGGCACGGUCAUCCUCAGCUGGCUUCUUUGCAUCUUCACAUUUUUUCACAGACUGCUUCUCUGGAUUUUCAGUGACCAGAUGCCUGGGCCACCUCCGGCCGCCGCCGACGCUGCAGAGUUUGACAUGGAGCAUCAGCUCAAGUCACGCCUAAGCGAAAAAAGGUAUUUGAUUGUAAUUGAUGACGUGAGGACAGAAGAGGUGUUUAAUAGAAUAUCUGCCUUCUCUUGGACCAACAGAGUGGGUGGCAGAAUUAUCGUGACGACGAACAUCCGGCCAGCAGAGAGACCAUGCAUCUGCGGUGACGACGAAGAUAACAGCACAACUGGCCUGGUUUUUGUUGGAGAGGUGGACACUGGGAUGUUGUAUGGAAGAACCUGCUUCCAACUUUGUGAUGCGGCCUUAGCAAGAAUGCAAGGGUUGCUUGGCUGUAACCACCAGAAGGCUGUUCUUGAAGAGUUCUUGCUAUAUUUCAGCAUGUUCCCGCAUGAUCAUGAUGUCAGAAGGAACCCUCUAAUAAGGCGAUGGCUAGCCGAAGGACUAGUUGUACACGCAAAACAGAAAGUCUCUGAGUAUGUAUACCGUUCUGAUCAGGACAUUGUGGCCGAUCAUUUAGACAUCCUCAUCAACAACAAUAUUAUCAAGUCCGUUAAGAAGAGCAGCAACGGGAAAGUGAAGAGAUGCCAGCCUCCAGGGUUUGUGUUCAACCACAUUUGCGCCAGGGCAGCGACAGAUAAAUUUAGCACCUUGUUGUGUGGCCCGAUUCAGAAUGAGAUCGCUGGAGAAGCAUAUGUUCGCCGGUUUUCCCUCCAUCCUUUCAUGGACACUGCGAAUGGUGGGCUCAAUGUGCCAGAUGCAGUAGACGACCAUCUCCAUACUAUGUUGGUCUUUCCAACUGCAGGUGCCCGAUAUGGAGCUAUCUUGAGUUUUAACAACCGUAGGCUUCUGCGGGUGUUGGAUCUGAAAGAGUGUGCUGAUGUGACUCCAGACCAUCUCUUAAUAAUAUGUGACCUGUUGCUGCUGAAAUAUCUGAGCCUCGGGAGCAGUAUUGACCAUGUUCCGAGGAAAAUAGGGAAGCUGAUACGUUUGGAGACACUGGAGAUGAGGACAACUGAUGUAGUGGUGGUGUACUCAGAAGUGCUCAAGCUGCCCAAAUUGAAACACCUCCUUGGGAAGUUUCGGCCGUCUAGCGUUGACUGCCCUCCACCCAAUAAAAAGAAGGAAACUGAUGACUGCCCAGAUGAAGAUCCAAAGAAAGUGUGGAGGUUGACGGGUGGAUUCUCAAAGCUAAAGGACUUCUUGAGGGAAAACAGUGCCCUGGAGACGCUAGCAGGAAUUGUCAUCGGCAAUGGCAUAGGACUUCCACAGCUGCUGAGUUGUAUGUUGCGGUUGAGGAAGCUGAAGAUAUGGUGUACUCCUAAUCCCAAUCCAAAUGAGCCGACAGACUUGAGUGGUAUUAAGAAAGGCAUCAAGGUAUUCAUCGGUCAUGGAACCCGUAUGACUACUCUUGAUUACUCCCUGUCUAUUAACUUCAAUGGGUCUUCAAAAUCAUUCCUGGAUGCCCUGGAAGAUCCGGGUAGGCUCACAUCGCUUAAGCUGAGUGGCAAGCUGUCAAUACCACUUUCGGUGGUUGCCAAGAUGGCUAGUCUUCAGGAGUUGUGCCUCUCACAGACUAAUCUCAGCGGCCAUUUAAUCCAAGCCGGACUGAGUAAUUUGAGAUGUCGACUGAAAUUUCUGAAGCUGGUUCAGAAAAAUCUUAGGGACCUCUCGAUACAAAACCAGGGCCCCUUCGUACGACUGGAGAGGAUAUGCCUCGUGGGCAUGGAAAGUCUCACGGAAAUAAUAAUUCAAGAUCUGACUAAGCUUGACACGCUCCAUUUGAUCUGUCCAACUCCAGGUGCUCUUCCUGGUGUCCAGAUCGGAAGCCUGCGAAAUCUCAAGGAAGUUGGGCUCCACUCUAGAGUUGAUGGUGCUAUCAAACGUGGAUGGGAAGCUGCUGCAAGGGACCAUCAGCGUCAGCCCAACGUCGUGACCAUUGAAACACCCUAA